GAUUGCAACCGAACCCUAAUAAAACUUAUUAUAUUAUAUUAUUAUGUAUUUUUUCCACUUUUUAUUUUUGCAUCUCAGCAAAAGCAAAUUUCAGCGGUUUCCAGUCCAGGACGGACGGGCGGAUGGACACACAGACAGACAAAUAUGGCGAAACUAUAAGGAUUCCUAGUUGACUACGAAAUACUAAAAUAAGCGCCAAAUUUGAAACAUGGGCGAAGGUUUAUUGUGCCAUAGAAAAUUUGAAUUAGGCGCCUUUUUUAAACGACAGUAUUUGCUUGGCCAUAAUUUUCUUUAAAUAAUUUUAUUAAUGUAAAUGUUGCAAAUAAUUGUGAAAAUAAAGUUAUCGAAUAAUAAUACUAAAGCCUGACCAGAAAUAUAUGACUAUUAUUGUCAAGAGGGCGCUGUUUAUUCUGAUGUAUGGGGUGACAUUGCAGUUUAGUAUGAAGAAUAGUUCUCAUAUUAUAUUUCUGGUCAAGCUCUCAGGCUUUAUCAAUCUAUGACUUUCGAGCCAAUUCAUCACUACUUUUAAAAAAUUUCGUAUCUCACGCUGUUCCUCAAAGUUAAAACGCAGUAAGUCUAUAUGCAUUCCAUACAUACUUACUACAAUUUUCUUUUCAUUGAUAGACGAAGAUAUGAGUUUUUUUUAAAGUAGUGACGAAUUAUUUAUGUCUCCUGAUUUUUAGGACGUGUCUUCUGAUUUUAUUCAAAUUGGACCUGGCAACACUGAAAUAAUGUCAGAAUCUUUUCUUUGACAUUAUUUACAAUUUAUAUUAUUAUACAUAAUUGGUGUUUUCACUAUUCUUAAGCUAAAAAAAAAACACCUGUUUGUCCUCCAAAGAAUACCUUAUUGGAUUCACAGGAUGAUUGAGGAUUUGAGGGAAGCAUGUUAAGACUGUGACAAUAUGGUCUUAAGGCAGCCGGCCUCAUUGAGAACAAGAAAAUACCCUGCUUUAUGUAGCGGUUGUUAUUUGUUAAUAUGACAUGUCUCGGCAGUGUAGUGACCCUGUGCUUAAUUAAGGCUUCAGGUUCAAAUCAUGGUAAACCAAAAUGAAAGCGGCCGGUUGAAAAAGUAGCAGAGUCGAAAAUGGAAAUUAAUGAGCUGCAGAAGUAAAUUUUAGAAGAAUAAUUCUCUUCUUCUUUGUUGUAUCCUUGUGGCUGAGGGACAUGACGAAUGAGGCC